CGCGGAGUAGAGCAGUUGGUAGCUCGUCGGGCUCAUAACCCGGAGGCCGCAGGUUCAAGUCCUGUCUCCGCAACCA
rnacentral:tRNA from 9 species